rnacentral:rRNA from 1 species
ACACAGGGAUUGCCCCAGUAACGGCGAGUGAAGCGGCAGCAGCCCAAAUUUGAAAUCUGGCCCCCCUCCGGGGUCCGAGUUGUAAUUUGCAGAGGAUGCUUCGGCGUCGGCCCCGGGCCAAGUCCCCUGGAACGGGGCGUUGUGGAGGGUGAGAGCCCCGUACCCGCCCGGGACGCCGUCGCCGUGCGAAGCUCCUUCGACGAGUCGAGUCGUUUGGGAAUGCAGCUCCAAGCGGGAGGUAAAUUCCUUCUAAGGCUAAAUACCGGCCGGAGACCGAUAGCGCACAAGUAGAGUGAUCGAAAGAUGAAAAGCACUUUGGAAAGAGAGUCAAAAAGCACGUGAAAUUGUUGAAAGGGAAGCUCUUGCCGCCAGACUUGCCGCGGUCGGCUCAGCCGCCCCCCGGGGCGGCGUACUCCCUCCGCGGCGGGCCAGCGUGGGUUCGGGCGGCCGGACAAAGGCCUCGGGAACGCAGCUCCCCUCGGGGAGCGUUACAGCCCGUUGGUGUAAUGCGGCCGCCCGGUCCGAGGCACGCGUCCGCGAGGACGCUGGCGUAAUGGCCGCAAGCGACCC